rnacentral:lncRNA from 1 species
GCUUACUUAACUCAGAGAAACACUAAAAUCAAAUUACACAAGAAAAAAGACAUGUUUAAAUGAAAAUACUUCAAAUAAUAUCUGGUUAUGAUGGCACUCAAGUCUCAACAAGAAACAAUAGCUAAACUGAAGUACUAGAUCUACAAAGCCUCUAAACUCAGUAUAUAGGGAUGUUGGGACAGACCCCACAACAUCCAAAAACUAAACUACUAAAACAAAAGAAAUGUAUGUCCUCCACAAUUCAAGGAGGAUCACCACUAACUCUAGAGCUCGAUCUGGAUCAACGAAAUGCCGGGUGUUGAUCCUUGCUACCUGCGUCUGCAUCAUAAAAUGAUGCAUGCCAACUAACAUUAGUAUGUUGAAUAUACGAAAAUGCGAUUUGGAAAGCUAAACAAAACAUAGGCUUGAAAGGGAGUAAGAAUGAAUACUUACCUUAUCUCUGCUCAACUCAGGAUCAACUAACUCAUUAUUCAAUAUAUGUAGUUAAAAUAAAUGCAAUAUAAAGAAAUAUUGAGUGAAACAUGCUUAAACCUCUCUCUCUCUCUCUGUGUAUAUAUAUAUAUAUAUAUAUAUAUAUAUAUAUAUAUAAUGUAUGAGAUGUAUAUAAGAUACAGUAGUGCUGUAUAUAAAAAUACAAUGACUGAUGUAUGUAAAAAAUAUAUUUUUCUUUGAGAGAUUCUCUAACCGACAACCAUCACUUAAGAGGCAUAAUGAUGAUACAAAAAAUCACCGCAUGCUGCAUCCUAUGCCCGACCAAAGAUACAUGACCUGAACUGCCUAAUGGAUCCACUAGUAUACUAUGAAAAGGAAUCAUCUAAAAAGUAUGACCCUAAUCUAGCCAUGGUGUCUAACAUGGUUUAUGGGGGCUGUGAGUUAUCUGAACUAUCCCUCAUAUCAGUGCUCAAUUCUACUCCCAAAAAUAUAUUGGCUCUUAUGUUUAAAAACAUACUGAUUUUGUGGUUUGAGAUUAGUGCUCAAAACUUAGCUUUUAAAACCUCUCUUGGAAAUCAUAGUUUCCACUUCCUUCUAUUAAAACUAGCCAUAGGCUUGUUGAAGUCUAGAUUCCCUCCUUCUCAAAAGUUUUAAACAUUUUAUUUGAACUCUUAGAGACUACUUAGUUCUCUUAUAACUCUUGAGAAGUGAACUCAACUUGAUACUCUUUGCUUACUUGGAACUGAAUCUUAAGGAAUACUUAGUUCCCUUAUAGAUUUUGAGAAACGAACUCAACUCUUUACUCUUUCUUGACUUGAACAAAGUGAAAUUUUUUAUGAAAGACUUUAUAAAAUUUGAUAACUUUGACUCGCUUCAUAACUUCUAGACUUGGCUCUUAACUUCCUUAACUUUCAUCCGAACUUUCCUUGAAUUGGAUUAUGGAUUUAAGGAUCAUGAUCUCAUGUUUAUGGAUGAUUUCAUGAUGUUUAGAUGUACUCUAUAGUGUUGGAAUAAACUAGGAAUUAAGGGUACAUCACUUAGGAGUUAGUACGAAAAGAUAAGUAAAGAACGGGGUCUCCAGGGUUCUUGGCGCUCUAAGAGGCGUGAAGCGCCUUAGCUCGACGGACAGAGGCUUUCCUCAAGCACGGCUCGCCAGAUCCUUACAAAUAAACUCUGUCUUGUGGAGCUUUGGAUUCACGGACCGAACAUUUAUCCAAUGGGUUUUUGGACUUUCUUUUUCAUUUUUCAUCUCUGAAUCUUCCUAAUCUCCCAUGGUUUCAACCCCAAACACUUAGGAUCCCCAAUUAACUUAAUACCCAAUAAUUUAGACCCAAAAAAAGUCUAAAAACAUGGAUUACAACUAACAACGAUCAACAACAAUUCAAUCAACAAGAACUUCAAACGUUUCAUCAAAAGAUUCAAGAUUUCCUUUCAAUUUAACUCUAAUUGCUGUAGUGAAUCAAGUUAGAGGGUGGGUGAAAGAACCCAUCACCGAAUGAUCUCAUAUACCUUGUAAGGUAUCACCCCUGACGAAAUCCACAAAGCUAAAACUUUCCGUUCCUGUGUCUUCUUCUUCUUUCUCCUAUUUUCUCUUUUCCUUCAAAGCCCUAGUCCAUUUUUCCUAAGCGCUUAAAAUGAAUGAGAUCCAUUUUGACCCCAACAUAUUAUCCCCAAACAAAAUUAAUUAAUGACUUUAGGAAAAGACCAAAUCACCCUUAACAAAUUCGGAUUUGGAACUUGCCUUACUCAACUGUCCAUCUUAUGAAGGUCAUACCUCACUCAUACGACCUAUACUUGCAAACUCGACGACGUUGGAAGGAUAUUUUGACGAGCUUUCCAUACAUAUAAAGAACUCACCUAAAUCUUCCUAAGAUGAGAGCUUUGGCCUUUGAAAAUGACCAAAACUUACUUUUCAAAUCUGGAAAUUUUCCAGAUUUCCUUACUUAUUUCCAAAUUUGAUUCUUCUUGUUUUUCUUAGAUUAAGCACAUCUAAUUUAAGAAACGAGAUGUAACACAUUCCUCCUAGAUGGACGACGUCUUGCUACUUUUUGUGGAGGCAUAGUUAUUUGAUACACGCGCAAGCACAAAUCAGAGAGAAAUUUUUAGAGAGAAACUCUAACGCAUGAAAAGAGUGUGAAAGAAGUGAAGAAAUUUCUACAUGUAGUAGCCUUCUAAUUAUAGAUAUGGUGUGCUUCACACUGAUAAUUAUGACUAAACAUACACGACUUCAUAGACCCCCUAGGACUCUUGAUCUCUGUGCUCUGAUACCAAGUUUGUCACUCCCCGAUCCUACACCCUGGGAGUGGCUAGCAAUCGAUGACCAUUGUGGCCUCGAGUGGAUCCUUGGUCCUACUUACUUAACUCAACGAAAGAAAAAAGUCAUAAACUUAACUUAACUGAAGACAAUGUAAAUACUUAGAGUGUUUUUAAAACUAAAACACUCAAAUUUGUCCAAAACUGGCAACCCAAGUCUUAUUAAUAAGUAAUAAUACUUAAAGACCAAGGACUAAAAUAUGAUUGUCUAUCUAUGAAGCCUCUAGUACUGAGCUGGAUGUUGAGAAAAACCCCACAACAUCUUAAUGAAUAAAAUAGAAAGUAAUUAAAAGAGUCCUCCGAAAUGCAAGGAUGCUCACCACUGACUCUAGAGUGCUCAUCUGGAUCAACAGUGUCGCUGGAUGCCGAUCCUCGUUACUUGCGCCUGCAUAAUUAUAUGAUGCAUACCAAGUGGCAUCAAUACAUUGAAUGUACAAGUAUGUAAGUUGGAAUAACAAACAAAAUAGGAUUGAUUGGGAAAUCUGAAAAACUUACCUGGUUCAACGAAACUCAACAUACUGGACUUACUUCAAUAUAAAGCAAUUUAAAAUAAGUUCAAUAUAAAGAAAAAUUGUCUAAAACAUGUUGUAAACUCUGUGUGUAUAUAAAGAUACAAUUAACUCUUAGAUGUAUGUAAAAUAUAAUUAAAUUGUUUCAACCAUUCUAUAUCUUGCUCACGAAUCGGUAUCAUGAUUGCAUGAGAAUCACAUCAAAUAUAUGUAUCUUGUAUGAUUCACAUAUAUUUGAGAUAUAUAGACAAAUCUUACUCGCCACCUUCAUGUUCUUGCUUGUCUCUCCAUAUUUCAGUAUAUAGCAAAAAUAUGUAUCUUGGUGUAUCUACUUAAAGUCUGAUAUGAAAUUAUUAAUUAGUGAGAAAAAAUAUAAUAAUUUGUUAUAGACAAUUAAUAAAUAUGGUAGAAAAGUUGUGUAAUUAGAUAGUUUCUUCCUUUUAAUUUUAUAAAUCAGUUAGGCUUAAAGCAAACGACUGAUAUGAAUACCUUUUAUUAUUUAGAACUAUUUCAAUCACGUAAACUGUAAAAAAAUGAUAAGAAAUGACCAUUCGGUUAUUUUUGUUACAAAACUUUAGCUAAAAUUUGGAAAAAGCACAAGUACCUCCUACAUUAUGAUCGUUAUCCCAAAGAUACACCUUAACUAAAAUAAGGUCCUAUUACCCGAACCUCAAACUCAUUUGUUUUGGAAUUUGAUACACCUUUUAGAUUACGUGACACACUCCAUGUACACGCAAUUGAGAUAUGUUGGAGAUGAUUGGAUGACACAUAGACUGAAAAGGUGUACAAAAUUAUAAAAAAUGGGCUCAGGGAUAUUAGGAACUUAGUUUAGUUAACACGUGUCUAUGAGAUUUUGGUCAUAAUCUAGGUAGUGCUAGUACCUUAUCUCGGCAAAAUUGCAAAAAUUACUAAAAUUGACCAAACCUUUUAGUAUUCUUAUUCUUCCUUCCAUAUUCGACAUUAAUAAUUUUUGUCUUCUAGUCGUUUUUACUUUUCUAUAAAAUUUAAUGUACAGUAAAGGUGAAUCGUUUUGAGCGAAUUAUAUAUCAAAAGACAUGAAACAUCGAGAGGAUUUCAUAUCUAAAAUUUGAGAUUAUUUAGAGGUAAAUUUGAGUGUAUCGAGAUUGAAUAGUCAAUAUAUACUUCAUAUAUAGUCAUUGUAUACAUUUUAUAUAGUUAAACCAUAUUUUUGGUGUGUGUAUCAUAAUGUAUACUCAGUGCAUAACUCAUAUAUAGGUACGAUAUAUUAUAUAGUCAGUACAUACUUUACAUGACUUUUAGCAAACUACAUUAUAUAAUCAAUAAAUAUGUUGAAUAUUUUUUUUAAAAUUAUAUAACUAUAUUUAUUGUAAACUAAUUACUAAUUUAUUAUAUAUAAUUGAAACUUAUAUUCCUAAAUAUAAGGCCAAAAUUAAACAUUUAUCUUAAAUUAAAUGUCAUUUCAGUUAUUUUGUGAAAAGGUUCACAUAAGGACAAUGGAAUUAACUCACAUUCUACGCACACUCUUCAUUUACUUAAUGCCAAAAAAUAUUUGAAAAAGCAUAAGCCGUCAUUGGAGGGUUAAACAGACAAUUGCUUCUUUCUUUUAAGCUACAUAGUUCAUCAACCUCCUAUUUUGAUUGUAGAUUCCUACCUCUUGCUGAAUUUGAUGGAUUCGAGUAUGGUUUUUUACUCAUCGACAUUACUUGUUGAUCUAUUGAACAUUGCCCUGUUUUUUUUAAAAAAAGACGAAAGACUAUUCUUAUUUGAGAUGUGGAUGAAGUUCUAAUUUUUUGCCCCGGUGAAUUGGUCCAUGAGAGGACCCUUUUUAAGUUUUAAUUCUGUAUAUAAUUAAUAUAUGGGGAUAAAAAACAUGAUUUUUUCUAUUUGUUUUUGUAUCCUCAAUUUUGUUUGGAUGAAAUUAUGUUUAGUUUUUUUUUUUUGCGUGUGUUUGUGUGGAGGAAUGCAUGCUUUUGCUAAUAGAUUUUAUAUAUAAGGGACUUUGUCCAUGAUAUUUGAGAUAAUUUUUUGUAUAAUCACUUUUUUCACUCCUAAUCAAUCACAGCAACUCAAAAACAAUCAAUUCUAAUUUAUAUUCACAAUAAAAUACAACCCCGUUUUCAAUCAUAAUUCACUUUUUUUGAUAGUGAAUAGUGAUUAUUAAGGAUUGGAGUUGUGUUUGGUUAUAAAUAUAAAUUGGAGUUAAUUGUUUUUGAGUUUUUAUGAGUGAUUUGAAGUGAAAAAGUGAAAGCAACUUGAAUUUUAUGGCCAAUCGUGUUUUUUUUGGGAGUGUUUCUUCCCUGCCACUAAGAAAGAAAAUAAGUUAAGUUAUUCAUGAAUUUUUAAAUGAUGUUAUUGAAUGAAAUAAGAUAUAAAGUUUCUUUUCUUGUAAAAUCUAAGGUAUGAAAUUUGUAGAAUCAUGUAACUAUUGGAAAGAAUGAUGCAUAUAUGUUUUUUUGGAACUUAUUUAUUCCCUUUUAUUUUUCUUUUGGUUGCUAUUUAUUGAGAAAAUGAGUAUUAGAACGUCAAAAUUUGAUACAUAUGUUGCUUGUAACUAGUCAGAAUGGAUAACAGUGAUGUACAGAUGGUGGAUGCCGAAAAGAAUUCCGUGCUAGUGAUGUCCUAGUGUCAAAUGAAUCCUCGGUAAAGUACAAAAAUGGUGCUAAGACAGAAGACUUGAUUGACAUAAGAAAUACCGAGGACAAGACAAUGAUAAGAGUGAUUCAAAGAGAUAGGACUUGAAGAAUGAUAGAAGUGAGGUAGAGGAUAAGCUCAACAAUGCUUAUCCCAAUCAAGAAUUCGGUCUAAACACAAUUUGCAUACUUGACCGAUGACUCAUUGGACAUUAGGACAUCACUAGUAAGGAUAUAUUUUUUGACAUCCACCAUCUCUACAUCACCCAUAUCCAUUCUGACAACUAGUUACAAAUAACAUAUCAUAUAUAUCAAAUUUCAGCAAUCUAAUACUCAUCUCCUCAAGAAAGAGCACCUGAAAGAAAAAGGAAAGGGAAGAAAUAACUUCCAAAAAAACUGAUAUGCAUUACUCGUUGCACUAGUUAUAUGAUUCUCUACAAAUUUCAUACCUUUAUUUCAACUUCAAUUUUCACAAGACAAGAAACUUUAUAUAUUAUUUCAUUCUAUAACUUUAUUUCAAAAUUCAUAAAUAACUUAACCUUUUUCUUCCUUUGACACUGAUAUCAAUGGCAAAAAAGGAAAGACUCCGAAUAACAAAAAUGAAUUGCCAUAAAAUUCAAGUUGAUUUAACUUUUUGUCAUUCCAAAUCACUAAAAAAAAACUCAAAAAUAACUCGAAUUUUCAAUUAUCAUUAUUCGAAGUUUGGUGUUUGGUUGAAUAUCAGAGUUGUGUUUGGUUGUGAAUAUAAAUUGUGGUUAAUUGUUUUUGAGUUUUUGCGAGUGAUUUGGAGUAAAAAAAGUUUUUCAAAUUCUCUCAAUUUUCAUGGACAAUCUCCCUUAUAUAUAAAUCUAUUAGCAGAAGCAUGCAUUCCCCCACACAAACACACAAAAAUCCCUAACUUUAGUUUCAUCAAAACAGAAUUAAGGAUACAAAAACAAACAGAAAUCUUGUUUUCAUCCUUGAUGUUAACUCUGAAAAGAAUGAAGACUAAAAGAGGUCCUCCAAAAAAUCAAUUCACCAUAAAAAAUAUCAAAACUUCAUACAUAUCAAAUUUGUUUAGUUUUUUCAUUUGUUUUAAAAAAUAGAGCAAAAUUAAAAUAGAUAAACAAGUAAUGACGAUGAGUAGAAAAACAUACAGGAAUCCAAAUCGGAAGUUAACAAAAAGGGAAACUAUCAUGAGAUUAACCCUCCAAUGACGACUUUUGCUUCUUCAAAUAUUUUUUUACGCUAAGCAAAUGAAGAGUGUGAGUAGGAUACGAGUUAAUUCCUCUAUCUUUAUGUGAGACUUUUUGAGAAAUUCACUAAAAAAAACACUUAAUUUAAGAGUAGUGUUUCAUUUGGUCUUAUAUUUUAGAAAUAAUUUCAAUUAUAUAUAACAUAAGUUAGUAAUAGUUUACAAAUGGAUAUACUUAUAUAAUUAAAAAGAAUAUUCAAUAUAUACAUUGACUAUAUGCUAUAGUUUGCUAAAAGUUAUAUAAAGUAUAAGAAAAAGGCUAAAAAUACCCCUAAACUAUCGGAAAUGGUUCAAAAUUGCCAUAAACUUUAUUGUGGUUCAAAAUUACCCUUCCCGUCAAAGUAUUGAGUCAUACUUACCUCUUUUAAUUAACAUAAGUAGGUUAAGUUCCACCUAAAAUCCAUAUGGAUGCCACAUAAGCGCCAAAGAUUUUCCACUUCCAUGCAGACUAAUAAGAUCCCUAAUAUCUAAUCUCCCCCUCAUUUCUCUUAAGAUUCGAUUUCAGCCAUUUCCCCUUAUUUUCGCGCGUAGGGUAAGAAAUGAUUCACAUAUUUCUUCACUUUGCGCUUGGGUUUUGAAGUUGAUUUUGUGGCUGGCUUUUAAAGUGGAUCUUCUCGGCCAUAGGUUAGAAACUAUUUUUUCUUAUUUUAUUAUGUUUACGAUUCAAAGUUGUGGAUGAAUCCAUAAUUGGUGAUGAAUUGAUGGAUUAAAAGGGUAAAUCUGAUCUAUUUAUGAUAGUCUUAGGGUAUUUUUGAUCCUUUCUAUAAAGUAUAUACUGACUAUAUAAUAUAGCUUACCUAUAUAUGAAUUAUAAAUUGACUAUAUAUUACGAUACGCUGAAAAACUAAAUAUACUUUAAUUAUAUAUGAAGUAUACAUUGCUUAUUCAAUGUAGAUCAACUCUAAUUAUCUCUAAAUAGUCUCAAAUAUAUAAUUUACUCGAAAAGAUUCACGUUUGCAGUACCUUAAAUUUUAAAGAAACGGAUAAAAAAUUAGGAAGACGCAUGAAAUGAAAAAAGAGGAGGAGGCGGAAGAAAGAAGGAAAAUAUGUUAUUCAUGGCGAAACUGGAAGGACGAAGAAAAAAAGAGUCAGAGGUCUGGCCAAUUUUAGGAAUUUUGAAAUUUUAGCGGGAUAAGAUACAAGUAAACCCUAGACUAUAAUCGAAAUCUCAUAGACACGCCUUAACUAAAGUAAAAUCCUAUUAACCCUCCACCCCUUUCACCCUAGGAGCUGCGGGCAAUUCAAAGUUGUUGGUACACUUGAUGGACUCCACAAAAGAAAAACACAAGCAGGGCUUAGUACAGGAAAACAUGUACUAAGUAGAUAUCAUCGGCCGACUCAAAAUAGUAACUAUUAUGCAUAAAGUAAUAGUAUAAAAUCAACUAUAUCACUUGGCGGGUGAUAAACUAAAACUGGAAUGAACAUGUGACAAAUGAAGCAAGUACGUAAUCAAUGACUAUAUCAAAAGAACACAUGAGCACUCAUCCCUCCACACCAUACUAUUUUGGGAAAUGGGUUCUUUAAGAUCGACAACAUUCAGUUGAUUCAAUAUGUUUCCUCUUUAUUAUUAUCGUGUCAAAACGUGACACUGCAAUCCAAUAAUACCAUGUCAAAACGUGACACCCUGAUCAAAUAAAACUUUGUCAAAAUGUGAAACCCUAAUCAAAUAAUAUUGUAUCUGAACGUGACACCCCGAUAUAAUAAUACCAUGUCACAACGUGACAUCCUCAUCCAAUAAUACCAUGUCGGAACGUGACACCUUGAUCCAAAAUAAUAUUGUUAAUUUAUCACCUAUUAUCACCACUGUUCAAUUCCUUAACAAUAUUUCAUCAUGUCUUCUUUAGUCAAGGAAUUACUUCGAUAGAGAGGGUUCAAUAUUAUAAAUUUCAUGGUCUCUGAAUUCCAUACCAUUCACAAAGAACACAUAGAUUAUCCAAGACACACAACCAAGUCACACAAUCACACAAUAAAGUACAUAUAGAACUUCACAUUAUUAAUCAAUGCACAUUAAUCACUAUUACUGUAUGCAUAAUAGUUACUAUUUUGAGUCGGCCGAUGAUAAAUCAUGUGUUGCAAAUUGUGCCUAUUUACCCUUUAUCUGCACUUAGCCCUCUGAAAUGUGUUUGUUAUGAUAUUCAUAGGAUUUUUGUUAAAUUAUUUUGGAACUUUAAGGAGGAUGGCAGCUACUCACUCGAGUGCUUGGGAUGAUAUCUAUGUUCCAAAGUGUGAGGGAGGUUUGGGGUUUAGAUCUUUAUUUGAUGUGUCCAAAUACUUUUCGCAAAACUUUAGCGGAAGUUUAGGACUUCUUAUUAUUUAUGGGCUAAUUUCAGUGGAACAAAUAUUGUAAGAGACAUAGAUCUCAAGUAGUUUAAUGGAAUAGUGGUUCACAGGUAUGGAAGGUUGUGCUUCAAGCUACACAUUAUUUUGAUCAAGAAAUUUGGUAGGAACCAAGAGAAGGUCAUGAUAGUGUUUAGUUUGAUAAUUGAUCACAAUUGGGAGCUCUGUAGUAUAUCUUACCUAUUCACAUGAUUAUGGACUGGUUGAAACAAUAUAAUGAGGUAUUAGCUUCUAUAUUAAAUAAGGAGGUUUGUAGGCACAUUAAAAAUGUUAUGGGAGAUAUGCCUUUUGCAGAGGGCAGAUAUAAGCUUGAUGGAUACCUAGUGGUACUGGGAAAUUUAAAAUUGGGUCUGCUUAGGAGCUGCAAGGUGAGGAAAGAUCCUAUAGAUCUAAUCUUUAACAUUUGGGAAAAGGCAUACCUUUUAAGGUGUCUUUCCUUUUGUGGAGAAUGCGGUUCAGAAGAAUUCCUAUAGGAGAGGUUUUGAUUUAAAGGGGCAUAACUUAUUCUAUGGAGUGUUGUUGUAGUGAUAAUAUAUAAGAAACAUUUAUGCAUUUGUUUAUUCUCUAUUAUGAUUCAUAUAAGGUGUGGAUGUUUGUUUAUGAAAGUUGCAGGUUUGCAUUUUCCAGUUGUUCAGCUUAGGCAAGUUUUAGUGGAUUGGUGGAAAGCUGACUGUUCUACAAAACUGAAUUAAGUUUUUAAAGUAGUUCUUGCAUUUAUUAGAUAGAGCAUACGGAAAAGAAGAAACUUGAUCAAGCAUUGGGAAAAAUGAGUAAGCUAGAUUUCAUGUUGGAUAUUCAAAGAAUCAUAUAUUUAUUUGUGAAAUAUUGAUAUCCUUGUUUGAAAGAGAUGACUAAGACUUGGCCCCUAUUUGUGAAGUUGCUAGAGGGGUGUUCACCACUGAUCAACUACAAGGUUGUUAGAUGGAUUCGUCCUUCAAGUGGAACUUAUAAAUGCAACACUAAUGGGCCAGGGAUAGAUUCUUUUGCCUUCUGUGUAAAAAAUGAAGAAGGUUACUUCCUUUAUGCUGAGACCAGGGCAAUAAAAGAUGUUUUAGUUAUUGAGUCUGAAAUUAAAGCUUUCAAUAAUGGUCCUAGAUUAUUGUUUGCAUAAUAAUCAAGUUUCGCUGAUUGUAAUUGAGACAGACUCUCUAUUGGCUCAAUAAGUAUUAAAUGGAAAUUGGGAGGUUCCAUGGUUGAUGGCUUGGGACGUUAGGUACAUACAAAGCAGAAUGAUUAGUAAGGAGGUGGAUAUAUAACAUACAUUCAAGGAAGGGUCUCCCUAGCAGACUUUUUUAACAAAUCAUAUUGUUAAUUUUGCAUGUAUAAAUAGGCAACAAUUUCACAAUUUGCAGGAGAUUCCAUAAAGGCUAAAGGAAUUGUGGAAUGAGAAGAAUAAAAAAUUCCUAAUUUGCAGAUGAUAAAAGUUCAAAAUAAGGACUACAUGAUACAAUAGGGAGACAUAGAGUUAAGUAAAUGUAUCAACAACAAUGAAUUGGGUAACAAAUUGAGUUGAUAUGCAAGAACUAGAACAGUGAAAUAUUUAGUAGACUUCGGAAUAAAACUUGUUUUUUGUUAUCUUGAGCAGUGGUAUCAACUCCUUUAGUGGUUCAACUUGUUAGGACAAUAAAUUAGAGGUCAGAACUAAAGAAAACUAAAUGCCAAUCGAAGGGAUGGAAGACUUAUUUUGACUAAGCUCGAUUUAGCUUGGAUGAAGUUUGGGCAGAUCUCGAGACCGUAAAUUUGAGGCCAUUUCAAAGGACAAUGAACUGAAAAUCUCUAGAACAUCUCGUAUCUCUAUUGAAAUUUAGAUCUACACUAAAAUUGAAUAAGUUUUUAUUGGUUCGAAUCACAGCGUCAGUGAGAAUUUUGGCUAUAAAAUGAUUUCACACCAAAUUUGUGUGUCGUGUAGAUUGCAGUUUGUGCUGUUGAGAGAUGAAUGGAGAUCUGUAAGCUGGAUUCCAAUCAGGAGAAGAUGGGUCAAUUAGGGGAAGAGAUCAGAGUAGUUGAAAUAGAGUUCUUCCUUUUUAAGCUUUGCAUAUUUGUUUUGCUUUAUUUUAUCUUUUUCUCGUUAAAUGCAGAUCACUUUUUUUCUGUUGUUUAUACUUUUAUUUUACCAAAUAAAUGACCCUUUAUCGGGUUGCAUUUUAAAAAAACUCACGUAAUUCUUUUAAUCAAUUUCCUAUAGUUCAAACCUAAGAGUAAGUCAUAAUUCCUACAAUUAACAUAACUUCAAUGGAAUUUAAAUAAAUCCAUACACAUAAUAUUUAAUUAUUUAUCUCCAUAUAUCAAAAUAUUUAUUUUUAAUAUGAAAAUUUAGUUAAUUUAAAAAGUCAAACUGACUAUUUUGAGAGACCAAUUACUCGUACAAGAAACCAAUUGCAAAACUAUAAUCCAAUUGCACCGCUAAAUGUUGAACUCCCAUUUUCUUUAAACCCACAAAUACCAGAUAAAAUAUUAACUCCUCGUGCAUAUAUUUCUCAAUCAAAAUACAAACCUUGCUUUUGUAAUUGAACUUUGCAACUUCUUUCUCCCAGCACAUCAUUAAAUAAAAUGAAUGACCAACCUUUUAACAUUUAACUUUUGCUCUAACUCAAACUUCUUAAUGAAACCCACUAUAGUGUAUAUGAGGAAUUUCCAAUUCCAACCUCUUCUCAAUUUGAUUUUUCUUCCCCAAUCAAUAACACUGCAACAUACUAAAUAUUACCUAAAGAAAUCAAAGAGUUUGAAGCAUUACCUGGAUAGUAGUCCCUUCUAGUUGACGUCGCAGGUAGUGUUUCUCUUGCCUGAUCUUUUAA